UACGAAGGGGGCUAGCGUUGUUCGGAAUCACUGGGCGUAAAGCGCACGUAGGCGGAUCUUUAAGUCAGGGGUGAAAUCCCGGGGCUCAACCUCGGAACUGCCUUUGAUACUGGGGAUCUCGAGUCCGGGAGAGGUGAGUGGAAUUGCGAGUGUAGAGGUGAAAUUCGUAGAUAUUCGCAAGAACACCAGUGGCGAAGGCGGCUCACCGGCCCGGUACUGACGCUGAGGUGCGAAAGCGUGGGGAGCGAACAGG
rnacentral:misc_RNA from 1 species